rnacentral:lncRNA from 10 species
CAGGGUUUACAUUAGGGUUCACUCUUGGUUUAUAUAUUAUAUGGCUUUUGACAAAUAUACAGGGAGACGUAUCUACCAUUGAAGUAUCGUUUCGAGUAGUUUAACUGCCAUAAAACUCUGUGUUCUGCUUAUUCACCUCUUUUUAUUCAUCUCUUUUCUCUACUCAUCCCUGGCACAGAUCCUUUUACUGCACCAUAGUUUUGUUUUUUUUUUCAGAGUGUUGUAUAUUUGGAAUGAUACAGUAUGUAUUAAUAGUAUUUUCAGAUAGGAUUUUUCCACUCAGUAAUAUGCAUUAAGCUUCCUCCAUUUAUUUUUUAUUUUUUGCUUGAUAGCUUCUUCUUUCCCCUAAGUUGAAUAAUAGUUCAUUGUCUGGAUAUACCAUUGUUUAUUUCUCCGUUCCUCCACUGAAGGAAAUCUUGGUUGUUUUCUAGUUUUGACAAUUAAAAAUGAAACCGUUACAG